GGCCAAUGGAGGAUUGCUGGAAACGUCAUAGUUAGCGUCCAGUUGGGCAAGGAAGCUGUUUUCGUCCAUUUUAGCUCUGGGCAGAGUGACUCACAUGAACUUUCUCUGCGACCUUUUCUUUGGCAGCGGAUGCAAAAAUUGUAGCUUCUGUUAUCAGCAGAGAAGGGAUUUACAACAAACAAAGUACCUGAAUAAACAAAACCUUGAAGUCAUUGAUCAAGAUUUAUAUUAACGGAAGUUGUUCUCUUCAUGUAGGAAGAAAAGUUUCUCAUUUUGUGUUUGCCUUUCUCAGAACGAAUCCACAGCAACAGUAAGUGGUGACUUAACCUGCUGUACCACAAAAUCUCCUCCACACCCUCUUACCCCUUGGAAUUGGAAGAGCAAGAGAUUCAAAUGAAAGACAAGUUCAAAACUGAUUUAUGAAUAGGAGAAACUACUGCACUUGGAAAUAGAAGAUCUGGAAAUAGAGUCCUCCUAUUGGUACCCCCUUUUCUGUUCUUAUGGAAACUCAAGAUACUGCCCCAGAAAUCACUCCUAGAUGGAAUGUUUCUCAUGAUAACUGGUAAUAAACUUCUAUAGAGUUUUUUAUGUGAAAUAAUUGGCUAUGUAACUCUCUGUUCCCUACUUUAUUGUUUUUCUUGGCUAUCUACACGUUUCCAGUUAUAACACAACUGAAUACAUCAGAUUCAUCCUGGUACAGACAUGAAUUAAAUUUUUUUUUUUUUAUUUUUUGACAGGCAGAGUGGACAGUGAGAGAGAGAGACAGAGAGAAAGGUCUUCCUUUUGCCGUUGGUUCACCCUCCAAUGGCCGCCGCGGCCGGCGCGCUGCGGCCGGCGCACCGCGCUGAUCCGAUGGCAGGAGCCAGGAGCCAGGUGCUUUUCCUGGUCUCCCAUGGGGUGCAGGGCCCAAGCACCUGGGCCAUCCUCCACUGCACUCCCUGGCCACAGCAGAGAGCUGGCCUGGAAGAGGGGCAACCGGGACAGAAUCCGGCGCCCCAACCGGGACUAGAACCCGGUGUGCCGGCGCCGCUAGGCGGAGGAUUAGCCCAGUGAGCCGCGGCGCCGGCCCAUGAAUUAAAUUUUUUAAAAUAUGGUUUAAAUAAGAUAAAAAAUUCCAUAGCUAUAUUUUUGUGUUCCAGUAUCAUAUUUCUAACUACUUUGGAACAUCUUCAUCUAACAUGUCUAAAACCAAAUCCUAGCCAAAAUUACUAAAUGGAUUAGCAGUGAUUUCUUACUAGGAAAUAAAAAUCAAAAGAUAGGAAAUACAGCUGUGACUCAAAUCAAGAACUGGAAAGUUAGGAAACAGUUAUGGUCCUCAUAUUUGGAUUUAAUCAUUAAGGUCAAGCUGAUGUGGUUUGGACAGGGAGUCAGUGAGGAAUAAAGAGCUAAGGACUGCCAGCACCCAAGCCAUGUGCAUCGUCCAAAUCCCAUCCUCUUCCAUGUGAACUCAACAUGGCUGAAGACUCACAUACCCACUUCAUAUCAUGCAGCUAAGCCUUACUUUCCAUCAUGCACCAGAUGUCAUGACACCUUCCUGGAGACCACAAUGUGCGCUGUAGUCUCAUCCCAAACCCUGCCUCCUUUGGAUCUUUAAUCAGGCCCUGCCCUGACUACCACACCUACCCCAUAAAAAGAAUGAUCUCAUUCUGGGUGGGACCAAUUCUCUUUCUUAAGAUUGCCUGCACUCACUUCUGAGUGUAUACUAUUUCUUUGCCUUUUAAAAAAUCCUGCUUUCCUGCUAAGCUCUAUCUACAUCUCCCAGUUGUAUUCUUCUUACACAUGGGAAGACAAGAACCUGGACUAAGUUAAGCUGGGGGUCUCUUCAAGCCCAGCCAGGGCUCCCAGUUCCCACAAUGUAAUUUGGGGGCCCCUACCUCCACAACAUAAUUAUAAACAUUGUGGAAUAAGGAAUAUAUUUUAGAUAUUAGGCCUCACAUAAUUUGUUGGGGGGGGGGAAUCUGAGAAAGUUAAGGUCAGAGAUAAGCCACUAAUUAGUUCUGGUGGUAUCAAACAUUAUAUCAGAGUUACGGGAAGCCAGGCUCUGUCAACUGAUGGAGGACAUCACAAAGAGGCCAAUGCAUAAGUCAGUGCCAGGCUGUGGCUCUGUGUGGCUGUUUCUUCUGUGAAUUUGCAGUGCAGCAACUGGUAGUGGCCUGGAAUCCAGGCUGGCAGUCAGGAAGGAGAGCUGAAUAUGGAAUAAGAACAGGUGAGGAUGAACUUGGAAGCCACAAGCACUGCCAAGUCUUUCCUCUGGGCUUUAAUCUGUUGUGAUCUUCAGAGUGUCAUCUAUUCUGCCUUGUUUCUGAUCUAACUUCCUGCUAAUGGCGCUCUGGGAGGCAGCAGAUGAUGGCUCAAGUGCUUGGAUCCCUGCCAUCCACAGGGAUUCCUGGCCAAGCCAUAGCUGUUGCAGGCAUUUGGGGAGUGAACCAGUGGAUGGAAGCUCUCUCUCUUGCUCCAACUCUAGCUCUAUCAUCUCAAUCUCUGUGUCUCUCUAUGCCAUGCCGCCUGUUAAGUAGACAAAAAUAAAUAACGUUAAAGCUGAAGUAAGUAUAUUAACUUUAGACAGUAGACUGCAGAACAAGGAGAAUUAUCGGGAAUAUAAAGGGAUGUCACAUGAUGAUCAAAGGUUAAAUCCUUCCUAGGCACAACAGUCUUAUUACGUAGCAGAGGUUCCAAACACAUGAACUGAAAACUGAAAGGUGAGAUAGAGCAAUCCACAAUCAUACUUGGCAACAUCAGCUCUUCCUUCUCGGUCAAUGACAGAACAAAGAGAGAAUCAGGGAAGAUAUAGAAGACAUAAAUGACACAGAACAACAGUUUGGACUCAUUGGUAUUUAUAUGACUUUUCUCCUGAGAAUAGCAUUAUACAUUUUUCUCAAGUGCACAUGGAAAAUUCACAUGGCAAACCAUAUUCUGGACCAUAAAAUACACUUGAGUGGAAAUCAUAGAAAGAUCUUUGGUGUCCACAUGGGAUUAACUGAAUAACUAAUAACAAGAAGGUGUUCAGAAAAUUUCCAAAUACUUGAAAAUUAAAUAGCACACUCUUAUGUAAUCUUUGGAUCAAAGAGGAAUUCUCAUGGAAAUAUAGGAAACAUUUUAAACUGAAAUUAAAAAUACAACAUACAUAUAAAAUUUGUGUGAUCCAGUUAAAGCAAUACUUACAGAUUUAUUGCACUUAAUGCUUAUAUUAGAAAAGAGGAAUACUUUCAAAUCUAUAUUCUAAACUUCUACCUUAAGAAAUUAGAAAAAAGGGCCAGUGUUGUGGCAUAGAAGGUAAAGCUGCCACCUGUGACACCGCCAUAUCAUGGGGCACUUGUUCGAAUCCUGGCUGCACCACUUCCAAUCCAACUUCCUGCUAAUGUGCCUAGGAAACAAUGGAAGAUGACCCAAGUGCUUGGGCUCUUAUACUCACAUGGGAGACCAGGAAGAAGCUCCUAGCUCCUGGCUUGUCCUGGCCAAUUCUAGCUGUCGUGGCUAUUUGGAGAAUGAACCAGCAGAUGAAAAAUCUCUGUCUCUGUAACUCUGCCUUUCAAAAAAUAAAAUUAACUGAAACAAAAUUAGAAAAAAAAAACAGUUAAACCCAAAGAAAUCAGAAAGGAGGAAUCUAUGAAGAGAAGAAAUUAAUGACAUUUCAGCCAGAAAAUAAUAGAGAAAAUCACUGAAAUCAAAUGUGGAUUUUUAUAAAGAUCAAUAAAGUUGAUAAACCACUUUCCAGAGUGCCAUGGAAAAGAAUAGACACAAGUGGUGAACAUUAGGAGUAAAAGAAGAUGUUGAAGACAUGAAAAGUAGAAAUACUACGAACAGCACCACUGUGCCCCCAAAUUCAACUAAUGGACUAAUUCUUCAAAGUAUGCAAAUUCCAGAAGAAAGAUAAAGAAAAAAUAUUUAAGCUGGAUCAUCCUAUAUCUGUAAGAGGAAUUGAAUCUUAGUGAAAACCAGUAAAUGAAUCUCUAAGGCCAAUUGGUGACUUCUACCAAACAUGUAAGGUGGAAAAAAGACAAAUAAAUAUCUCUCAGUUCAUUUUAUGAGAUUCUAAUUACAACAAAAAGCAAAACCAGACAAGAAAAAAUUAUAUCAACAGUUUUCAUACAAAGCAAAAUCAGUCAGUCAUUACACGGAACCUGGGUCAGUACUUGUUAUGUACAUAGCCUCAAAAAGUCACAAAAUAUUAGGGAAUCAAAUCCAGGAAACAAAUAAUAGGGCUAAUGCAUGCUGAUCAGAUAAGAUUUAACCUGAGAAUGGAAAGAUACUCAAUAGUAAAAAAAAUAAGCAAUGUAUUUUGUGAUAUUAACAGGUGGAAAAAAUUCACCAGAAACAUUUUACAAACUUCAACAUCCACUCAUUGUAAAGAAUUUCAGAAAAACAGGAAUAGAAGGGAAACUCCUUAACAUAAAAAAAGACAUCUACCAAAAGCCUAAAGGUACUAUCAUACUUAAUGGUACAAAUUUAUUGUUUUCCCCUAACAUUGGAUAAACUGUAUCGGUUUCUACUCUCCUUUUAUUCAACAUUGUGUGGGAGAUUCAAGGCCAGUUAAAUAACACAUGAAAAAGAAAAUGCAUACUGAUUUGAUACAAAAAAGCUAAGCCAUCUUUAUUCACAAAUAACAUGAUUAUCUAUUAAAACAAUCCUAGAAUUGUUAAGUGAAUCUGACAAGGCUACAGGAUACAGGGUCAAUAUAUACAAUAUUGAUCAUAUUUCUGCAAUGAGCAACAAGAAAUCAAAACUAAAAAUAACAAUAUGAUAACACAAAAAUGCUUAAAUGUGAAUCUAACAGUAAGUUCAGGUUAUGUAUGUUGAAAACUACAAAACAUUGGUAACAUUCAUUAAAAUAAAUACAUUUGACAUACCGUGUUCAUGGGUUGGAAGAUGAAAUGUAGUAAAUAUGUUUAAUCUCAGAGUGGGCUUUAAAUAUAGUACUCACACUCAAAAAUGUCACUGGGAAAUGUAUAGAUAUUGACAGAUUAUUUCUAAUAUUUUAUAUAUGGAAAUUAAGUUAUAAUUCAUGGUAAAAUUUUUUUGAAGAAAAUAAAUUUUGAGUACUCAUACCAUCUGAGUUCAAUGCCUUUCAUAAAGUUUGAGUAAUUAAGACCAUGUUGAAUUGGUCAAAGGAUAGGUCAACAAAGCAAUGAAGCAAAAUUGUUUAAGACUAGACCUUUAUAAGAAUUGAGUUGUUGUUGCUGAAAGAAACAUCAAGUCAGGGAAAACUAAUCUAAUCUGUAAUUAAAACAUGUAUCUAGUCUGUUAAGGACAACUAGCUGCCCACUUUUGUGUUAAGACAGUGUCCACUGAAUCAGUCUGCAAGUAGAUGGCUGCCUAGUGCCCUGAGGAGUUGGUGUUGUGCUGGAGGGUCUGAAUUUUUCCCUGCUGCUGGAAAACUCGCAGCUUGACAAUAGCAGUCAGAUGAGCUUUGGUAAGAAUUACUUAUUGUUGAGUGUGAAGACUUCCAUUUCUGAUUCCAUGACCACUUAUCCUGGGCCCAUUGGGUAGAGAAUUAGAUCACUCAGAAAAGAGCUUAAACAAUAUCUGUAAGGUGCAUGUACAGGGAAGAAUUAACCCAGGAGGACUCAAAAGCUUAAAUGUUGCACAGCCCUCAUGCAUGAUUAAUUGGGUCAUGGCUGGCUUCUGGUAACAGUUAUUUGUUUCCUAUGGUAUUGAUAAAUAUUGGUAAUGCUCAGGACCUUGAAGUAUGCUGUAGCAGCUCAUCUAGGUAGUUUAUCCAAAUAAUGAUUUACCUGAUUUCCUCCUGGGGGUCUGGAAUUUUGCUGAACAGCAGUCACUUGGACACAAUAUAAUCAUAAAAACCCUAUAAAAGCCCAUUCUUUGGCUCAAGUGACUUCCAUAUUGCUGCAAUUUGUUGUUGAGGAUUAAGUGCAUCCUGUGUGACUCCACUGGGAGAAGACUCCUGGAAGCUCAUACGCAGUAUCCUCUAGACUCCACUUGAUGAGGUUUUUUUUUUUUUUUAAAUCCAGCUUUGUAUUUUUCUUUCCCUGUAAUAAACUGUACCUGUGAACAUCUUGACUUCUGAGUCCUGUAAGUCCUUCUCAUGAAUCAUCACAUCUGUAAUGCAUCUAGAGGACCACUGACUUAAUAAUCCCACCAACCUGAUUGUCAAGAGAGUCCUCUGCAGUACACACCCUUGGGUAGACAUUUACACAGUACACAAAUAUGUCUGCAUUCUGGACCCAUUUUUAUGAGUCCAUCUAAUACCUCUCUUUCAGAUCACCUUGAUGUCAAUCUUCCUGUUUUUCCAAAUCCUAACAGUUUGGCCAAUCUGUUAGCUACUGUCCCUGCAUCAGUAGAGAUCUGUAUUUCAGUUCAUAUUGCCUCUCAUGCAAACUGAACUGUCACUCACUGGGCAAAUUUCUUAUUAUCACUGCUGUCUUUGAAGGCCAUCCUUAAGUAAGAGCUAUAACAGGACAGCAGCUGCUUACUCCCAUCAUGCAGGCCCAUCCAAGUGAGGCCCAGGAUUUCUCUCCUUGGUUAACUGAUCACAGGAAGUUCUAUAUAAAUUGAGGAAAAGGUGGUGAAGCAAUAACAACAGUGAGGCAUUUGGUCAUGCAGUUACUUGUGCCCUUAAAACCUGCUUGAUCCUGUCACUUUAAGUACUAACUCCAUUAAUGAAAGAAUAAUGUGAGCAUGUGUAGUCUUUCAACACAGAGGAUAAGGCAACACCCAGUUUAUGAUCCUGAGUCCUGUAUUAACUUGAUGUUUUUUUUGCCCUGUACUCAUGACAUCUGUCACCUUGACAAAUUGGGACCAUAUUUUUGCUCUAUAAACUAGAUGCCACAAUUAUCUCUCAACUCUUUUCUAGUUUAGACCCAUACACUAUUCCUUGUCACUACCAGUGUGUAUUUCAGUAACUGUGAUGGCAUUGUGUGUCUGGAAAACAGGUGAGCCACAUUCUCAUCAACUGUGCAAUUUUCAGAAUUCUGUUUUGAGGGUCUGUCUCCUGGGUACCACUUGUAUUAGCAGCCAAUAGGAAACAGAUGGUACAUCAAAGAAAGCCUAAUAAAUGUGUGUCCUGGGAUAGCAGAAACAACAAGGGAUAGUAAAACACUCUGGAGUUAGCAGCAGCAGGAAGCUUUUACUACACUGGGCCUGGGAUGACAAGGCAGGUGGGGGGUGGUGAGUGAUGGAUCCUGGCAGGAGUCACAGGUGUAGGAUAAGGACCGCCAAGCAAGGACUAUGACCACCCUUAAACGUGGUUUGGCAGGAAGGGAGACAAGGGCAUAGAUAUGCCCAACAUCCUACCCUCUGACCUCCUGCUCCUCCUUUCUGCUGAACCCAGGAGUUGGGACAACACCAUCUCCCAUAGCCUAGGGCAGGGUAGAAAAGUGUGGAGAGUGAGUCUGUAGUUUUUCAUCUUUUAUGGGUUGAAUUUUGUCUCCCUUCUCCCACCAUUCACAUUGAAACCUUAACCCAAAUGUGACUGUAUUUGGCGAUGGGGACUUUAAAGAUUUAAUUAAGAUUCAGUGAGGUCAUAAAGGCAGGCUCUGGUGUUCUCAUCAGAACAGAAAGAGAAGCCAGAGAUCCUGCGCUGUCUGCUGUGUGAGGACACAGUGAGAAGGUGGCCAUCUACAGGCCAGUCAGAGAAUCUUCACCCGAAACCAACUCUGGUUGACCCCUUGGUCUUGAACGUCCAGCCUCCAGAACCAUGAGCAAUAAACUCCUAUUGUUUAGCCACCCA